rnacentral:rRNA from 1 species
ACCCGCUGAACUUAAGCAUAUCAAUAAGCGGAGGAAAAGAAACUAACAAGGAUUCCCCUAGUAACGGCGAGUGAAGCGGGAACAGCUCAAAUUUGAAAUCUCACAAGGUCACUUGUGCGAAUUGUAGUUUAGAGAAACGUUUUCGGGGGCGACGUGGGUAUAAGUCCUUUGGAAAGAGGCAUCAUAGAGGGUGAGAAUCCCGUUUAUGAUCCACUGUUCGCUCCUAUGUGAUACGUUUUCCAAGAGUCAUGUAGUUUGGGAUUGCUGCAUAAAAUGGGUGGUAAAUACCAUCUAAAGCUAAAUAUUGGCGGGAGACCGAUAGCGAACAAGUACCGUGAGGGAAAGAUGAAAAGAACUUUGAAAAGAGAGUUAAACAGUACGUGAAAUUGCCAAAAGGGAAACGCUUGGAACCAGUAUUGCUUUCAAGUAAUCAACUUCACGUCCCGCAAGGGUCGCGUGGGGUGCACUUGCUUGCAAGCGAGCCAACAUCAGUUUGGCUUGGGGUAAAAAGCCAGAGGAAGGUAGCUUGAACUUCGGUUUGAGUGUUAUAGUCUCUGGUCAUGCCUUGGGCCAGACUGAGGUCUGCAGCGUUAUUUGGAUUCCCGGUUGCCUCUUGAGACCAACCCUAGACAGCACGCUGACUAGGGUGACGUUUAGAGAGCUCAGCCGGUUCAUCACACCUACGCUUAGGAUGUUGGCGAAAUGGUUCCAAACGACCCGUCUUGAAACACGG